rnacentral:rRNA from 1 species
CACGUAGGGGACGAGCGUUGUCCGGAUUCAUUGGGCGUAAAGAGCGUGUAGGCGGCCAGGUAGGUCUGCUGUGAAAACUCGAGGCUUAACCUCGAGCUGUCGGCGGAAACCAUCUGGCUAGAGUCCGGAAGAGGAGAAUGGAAUUCCCGGUGUAGCGGUGAAAUGCGCAGAUAUCGGGAAGAACACCCGUGGCGAAGGCGGCAUCCUGGACCGAGAUUGACGCUGAGGCGCGAAAGCUAGGGGAGCAAACGGG